AAAAUAAAUUUUUUUAUUCGAAUUUCUUAAUAUCAAAACUUUCAACAACGGAUCUCUUGGUUCUCGCAUCGAUGAAGAACGCAGCGAAUUGCGAUACGUAGUAUGACUUGCAGACGUGAAUCAUCGAAUCUUUGAACGCACAUUGCGCCUCGAGGCAUUCCUCGAGGCAUGCCUGUUUGAGCGUCGCAUCCCCUCUAACCCCCGGUUAGGCGUUGCUCCGAAAUAUCAACCGCGCUGUCAAACACGUUUACAGCACGACAUUUCGCCCUCAAAUCAGGUAGGACUACCCGCUGAACUUAAGCAUAUCAAUAAGCGGAGGAAAUCUUCUU
rnacentral:rRNA from 1 species